GCAAUAAUUUUGAUUCUUAUGACACUUGUAAAAUAACAACCAUGGAAAAAAGGAUGGAAUCUAUGGAGAAUGAAAUGGAGCGACUAAAAACCGAGAACAAAGAACAAGCAGAAGAACUGACGAUUUUGAAUAAAACAACAGUUGACACCAAAAUCAAAAUGGCUGAACUAAUGAAGCAGAAUCAAGCUCCUAAAGUGGCUUUCUCAGCUUCUCUGUUGAGCUCUUUCGGACCACAAAGCGUUGGAGAGUAAUG